GUAGGGUGCGAGCGUUGUCCGGAAUUACUGGGCGUAAAGAGCUCGUAGGUGGUUUGUCGCGUUGUUCGUGAAAACUCACAGCUUAACUGUGGGCGUGCGGGCGAUACGGGCAGACUGGAGUACUGCAGGGGAGACUGGAAUUCCUGGUGUAGCGGUGGAAUGCGCAGAUAUCAGGAGGAACACCGGUGGCGAAGGCGGGUCUCUGGGCAGUAACUGACGCUGAGGAGCGAAAGCGUGGGGAGCGAACAGGAUUAGAUACCCUGGUAGUCCACGCCGUAAACGGUGGGUACUAGGUGUGGGUUUCCUUCCUUGGGAUCCGUGCCGUAGCUAACGCAUUAAGUACCCCGCCUGGAGAGUACGGCCGCAAGGCUA
rnacentral:rRNA from 1 species